rnacentral:rRNA from 1 species
UAACCUGCCUUGGAGUGGGGAAUAACAGUUGGAAACAGCUGCUAAUACCGCAUGAUGCAGUUGAGUCGCAUGGCUCUGACUGCCAAAGAUUUAUCGCUCUGAGAUGGACUCGCGUCUGAUUAGCUAGUUGGCGGGGUAACGGCCCACCAAGGCGACGAUCAGUAGCCGGACUGAGAGGUUGGCCGGCCACAUUGGGACUGAGACACGGCCCAGACUCCUACGGGAGGCAGCAG